rnacentral:sRNA from 1 species
ACCGGCGUGGUGGCGCACGCCUGUAAUCCCAGCACUCAGGAGGCUGAGGCAGGAGGAUCGUCGUGAGUUUGAGACCAACCUGGGCUACAAAGUGAGCUCAAAGGCAGCCUGAACUGCAUAGCGAGACCUUGGCUCAAGAAGACCAAAAAAUAAAUAAAUAAAUUGAGACAGGGUCUCGCUAUGCAGUUCAGGCUAGUGUUGAACUCACUUUGUAGCCCAGGCUGGCCUCGAACUUGAAACGAUGCUCCUGCCUCA